AAGACUGAAGCCCGUCUAACUGGCGUGGGUCCACCACCACCUCCCCUCACCCCAUCUGAGGAGCUGGCUCUGUCCCUUAAUAAAGGGCGACCAGUGGUUGCUGGCAUUCCAGGGGACAGUUCAUCACACACACCAUGCACCACAAGUGAUGGUGAAAAAAUUGUGAAAUAUACUGAUGGACGUAUUGUAUUAUUGGACCCUCCAGAAAGAACUGUCACAGUUGAUGAAGAUGAUGACGAUGAAGAGACCACAUCUGCUGUGACAGAAGUGGACAAUGUUGGUAGAUCCACUGAGUACAUACCUAGGGAUUUGCCCACAGAUGAGGGUCCUUCAACCUCAGCACACAAUCUAAGCAGGUUGCCAGCAAAGGAGCUGUAUAAGGUCCAUCUUCAA